rnacentral:rRNA from 1 species
AUUGAACGCUGGCGGCAGGCCUAACACAUGCAAGUCGAGCGGAUGAAGCGAGCUUGCUCCUGGAUUCAGCGGCGGACGGGUGAGUAAUGCCUAUGAAUCUGCCUGGUCGUGGGGGAUAACGUCCUGAAACGGGCGCUAAUACCGCAUACGUCCUGAGGUCGAAAGUGGGGGAUCUUCGGACCUCACGCUAUCAGAUGAGCCUAGGUCGGAUUAGCUAGUUGGUGGGCUAAAGGCCUACCAAGGCGACGAUCCGUAACUGGUCUGAGAGGAAGAUCAGUCACACUGGAAGUGAGACACGGUCCAGACUCCGACGGGAGGCAGCAGUGGGGAAUAUUGGGCGAUGGGGGAAAGCCUGAUACAGCCAUGCCGCGUGUGUGAAGAAGGUCUUCGGAUGGUAGAGCACUUUAAGUUGGGAGGAAGGACAGUAAGUUAAUACGUUGCUGUUUUGACGGUACCAACAGAAUAAGCACCGGCUAACUUCGUG